UGGUAAGCAUAUAUGUUGCUGAUUUGAUGUGCAAUUGUUGCUGUAUUGGCUGAAUAAUCUAGGUGUAUGGAUCUUGCAGAUCGCUAUGGUGUAUGCUUCAGAAUGAUGAGGAAUGUCGUGUUGGUAAAAAAAAAAGAUAGCUCUCAAAAUAAUCUUUAUGUUUAUGCUUGGGAUUUGGGAAGCUUUCUACAACAAUUGUUUGAAGAAUAUCUGAAAGGUAUAAAGUAGCAAUUUUUUUGCGCUUAAUAAAGGGGUGUUAACGAAAUUUCUAGCACUUAUUGUAUGAGUUUGAUGGUCUUCCUAGAUUUGGCAGAUAGAAUAGUGUUAAAGUCAUUUCCUGCCAUUAUCUUUCUUUAAUUUUCUUAAUGAAAAUGUUUGCUACUCAUUAUAAAUCAUUGUGUAGAUAAAACAGAAACGAAUUUAAGGAGAAGAGUUGCGAGCUUUAUUAUUCCAGUUAUCAACUGCCUGCGUGUUUGUCAUCAUUAUAUAUGUUAUGCAUAUAGAUGAUGAUGAUGUAAGAAUCCAUAAAUAUUGAGGUAACCAAUUGAAGCACAAUGAUGGAAUUUCAAGUGCUUAUCUAAGAAAAUGGAAAUUUUACUUUCUUGU